GCUUAAUGUCUCAUGACUGAGCAACGAUUCUCGUAUUUUUGUAACUCCUAAUAUUUGCAACUUGACAGUCGCGUGUAUAAAAUCCCAUACGAACUGUCAAGUUACGAAUUCUUAAAGUUACGAAUACUU